rnacentral:rRNA from 1 species
AGCAGUGGGGAAUAUUGGACAAUGGGCGCAAGCCUGAUCCAGCCAUGCCGCGUGAGUGAUGAAGGCCCUAGGGUUGUAAAGCUCUUUUGUGCGGGAAGAUAAUGACGGUACCGCAAGAAUAAGCCCCGGCUAACUUCGUGCCAGCAGCCGCGGUAAUACGAAGGGGGCUAGCGUUGCUCGGAAUCACUGGGCGUAAAGCGUACGUAGGCGGGUCUUUAAGUCAGGGGUGAAAUCCUGGAGCUCAACUCCAGAACUGCCUUUGAUACUGAGGAUCUUGAGUCCGGGAGAGGUGAGUGGAACUGCGAGUGUAGAGGUGAAAUUCGUAGAUAUUCGCAAGAACACCAGUGGCGAAGGCGGCUCACUGGCCCGGUACUGACGCUGAGGUGCGAAAGCGUGGGGAGCAAACAGGAUUAGAUACCCCUGUAG